GAUGAACGCUGGCGGCGUGCCUAAUACAUGCAAGUCGAGCGAACAGACGAGGAGCUUGCUCCUCUGACGUUAGCGGCGGACGGGUGAGUAACACGUGGAUAACCUACCUAUAAGACUGGGAUAACUUCGGGAAACCGGAGCUAAUACCGGAUAAUAUAUUGAACCGCAUGGUUCAAUAGUGAAAGACGGUUUUGCUGUCCCUUAUAGAUGGAUCCGCGCCGCAUUAGCUAGUUGGUAAGGUAACGGCUUACCAAGGCGACGAUGCGUAGCCGACCUGAGAGGGUGACCGGCCACACUGGAACUGAGACACGGUCCAGACUCCUACGGGAGGCAGCAGUAGGGAAUCUUACGCAAUGGGCGAAAGCCUGACGGAGCAAUGCCGCGUGAGUGAUGAAGGUCUUCGGAUCGUAAAACUCUGUUAUUAGGGAAGAAAAAAUGUGGAUGAAACCAUGCCCGUCUUGACGGUACCUAAUCAGAAAGCAACGGCUAACUACGUG
rnacentral:rRNA from 1 species